ensembl:lincRNA
CACCGCUAAUAAACACACAGCACACACAAUACAGAAGCUGAUCAUCAGCAGAUAUUCCCACAGNGUGGGGUCUACAGCGGUCAUGAGUAAUGACAUUAAACUGUUCUCUUGUGUUUCAAUCUUACCUGUUUGUUUGUUUGUUUGUUUGUUUGUUUGUUUGUUUGUUUGUUUGUUUGUUUGUUUGUUUGUUUGUUUGUUUGUGUUUUCAGCCAUCAGUUCAGCGUUGCAGAUCAGCGAUGGUCAAACCUGUAGAGCGAGAGCUGGCCUUACUGCAGAACAAUGCACUUCUCAGAUGGACGGACCCACACAGAGCUUCCUGUCGUGUGCCGGCGUUCCUCCAGAACCCACAGCAGAACACAUGCAGAAUCUGAAGGAGCUGAUCAGUGCUGCUCUGGACAUCUACUCAUUCAUGGUGCGCUGCACACACACUGAUUCUGCACUCACUGAUCUCACACACACACACACACUGAUUCCACACACACUGAUUCCUCUGGUUCUGUCGGUCCCGCAGAGAUCCAGUGUGUCCGGUGUGCCAGUGCUGGAUGUCUCUGGAGGCUUCAGUGUGGAGGAGGAUCUGGGCAUCAGGGCGUGGCUGGACAUCAAGCUGACGCCUCUGCUGUCCUCCAUCUCCAGAAACCUCCUCACGUGCCUCAGCAACAGAAACUUCAGCUGCAGCACCUACCAGACUGUGUAUGCCGACACACACACGUGCAAGAGAUCCGGAGAGCUCCACGGCUGUGUUUGAUUGUGUGUCUGAUCGUGUGUGCAGAGUUCAGGAGUUAAGUCAGCAUUUCUCCAGUCUGGAUCCGGUGAGGCAGAAGUGGAUCUAUUCUUUCUUCAUGUACCCGUUCCUCUCCAGGAACACGUCCUCAGGUGACAGCUCAGGCAGAUCGUGCUGUGAGUUCUCCAAAUGUCCGCGACAGCUUUGUGAUGUGUGAUUGUGUGUUGUUUGUAGGUUGUGUUGAUCCAGAAGCCAGCACUGAAGACUGGCUCAUGAAGAACUUUGGCUCCUUCUCUGUGAUGGCUCAAGUGAAAGACUUCUCAUCCAUCAACCUGCUCUUCAGCGGGGUAUGAGGACGUGUUUUUAAUCCAGUGUGGAGUUUGACAACACACAUUAAGGCCAGGCUCAUGGGAAACACAUGCUUCAGCCUGCACUUCUGCAAAACAUAGACAUGUUGCUCUGGGUAUAAUUUGUAGCGCAUUGACAAAUCCACUAGAGGGCGCUGUCUGCAUUACUGCAAAUCUGAAGGACUUUACAUGGUGUAUGUUUUGUUGCACAUCCUUCUUUUACAUUUACAUUUAAAGAAGGCGAUGCUUUUUGUACGGAUCACCUAGUGAACCACUGACCAAACCUUUCCAUAAACCCAAACAAGAGUGUUUUCAAUUGCACAUGUAAGAGAAACAUGCACUGAGUCGUGAGUGCUAUGCUACACGGGAGCAUUCAUUUUAUCUGGAACCUGCAGUCAAAAGUACAUUUUUGAACUUUCACAGAAAAAUGUGUAAUUAGUCUGUGUUGCACAACUGUAGAGCUGCGUCUGUGUAGAUCAGUGGUGCUCAACCAUGCUCCUGGAGAUCGACCUUCCUGCAAAGUUCAGCUCCAACCCUGAUCAAACACACCUGAACCAAUUAAUUAGGACCUGAACAGCACUUGAUAAUUACAGGCAGGUGUGUUUGAUAUGGGUUGCAACUGAAAUCUGCAGGAAGGUCGAUCUCCAGGAACAGGGUUGGUCACCCCUGGUGUAGAUUAUAAAUGCAAGGUCAGGGUCGGAAAGUAACUCUACCGCUGCAGUCCAAAUACUAAACUCUGCACUAGUACCACAUUUCUAUCAUUUAUUGUAGUGCAGGAUAAUAAUAAUAAUAAUUCCUUACAUUUAUAUAGCACUUUUCUGGGCGCUCAAAGCGCUUUACACAUUGGGGGAAUCUCCUCAUCCACCACCAGUAUGCAGCAUCCACCGCACACCACACAGCAGCUGAUUGGUGGAGAGGAGACAGAGUGAUGAAGCCAAGUCUGAUAUGGGGAGGGUGAGGAGGCCAUGACGGACAGAGG